AUGACCAUGGUUGAUGGAGCGGCUCCGGUGUUUCAUAGCCCAUGUUCACCUAAGAAGCUCACUCCUAAUGUUGGCAUCUCAACCACCACCAUUGUCCCAGCAUCCAACAAACAUGUGCCACAAAUUCCAUGUGAGGAAGGGAGUCCACAAUCCAAAAUCCCACAUCUUGAGAGUGAUAAGGAAAGCAAGCUGAGUGACUCCACCAAAAGUGAGGAAGAGUGUCCACUAUCAAAAAUCCCAACACUUGAGGGUGAAAAGAAAACUGAGUUGAGUGACUCCACCAAAUGUGAGGAAGAGUAUCCACUUUCCAAAAUUCCAUAUAUUGAGAGUGAUAAGUAA
rnacentral:rRNA from 1 species